UACGGAGGGUGCAAGCGUUAUCCGGAUUCACUGGGUUUAAAGGGUGCGUAGGCGGGCAGGUAAGUCCGUGGUGAAAUCUCUGAGCUUAACUCAGAAACUGCCAUGGAUACUAUUUGUCUUGAAUAUUGUGGAGGUAAGCGGAAUAUGUCAUGUAGCGGUGAAAUGCUUAGAUAUGACAUAGAACAUCGAUUGCGAAGGCAGCUCGCUACACUAUGAUUGACACUGAGGCACGAAAGCGUGGGGAUCAAACAGG
rnacentral:rRNA from 1 species